UUCUGACAUGGGAAAAUUCCCUUAAGAAAAUGCUUGAAGGUAGAUCCAGUGAUAACCCAAAUUUAAAUAGAAAUCCUCUCAUAUUCAACUUCUAUGGCAAAAAGCGGGACAAAAAUUUAAAUUGAAAUAACAGACAUUAAAGAAAUUAACUUAAUCAACUUGCCCACACAUUAUGAAAAAUAGAUAUAAACUUUGCCAGAUUUCUGUCUGGAUCAGCUUUGACCAGAGGUUUUCUUUUUGCCUUGAUAGGGUUGAAAUUCUUUGAGGCUGACAGUUCCCGUGGAGCUCCAAAGGAGCUAGGUUCAAGAUCAAAUUACUGAUUCUGAAGAGAUUUAAGCAGCACAAGUUCAGCUGCAGAAGAGCCACGUGGUUCCAAGGCUGGUGUCCACUGUUCCCUCCUCAGGCUAAAUUGCAGAAUGGAAUUUUGGGCAGCCUAUGUCGCCUGGGCUACACUGGCCUGGCAGUACCAGCUACACAUUAAAUAAUAAUUGAUCUGCAAAUGGGAGAGAUGAAUAUACAAACAAUGGCCAGACCAUAUAUAACAACAGAACUCUGACCCACAACCUGCACCAACCUGCUCAGGAGGAGUCAAGGUGGACUUGGGGAUGCUGAGAAGAGUGGGCAGAUUUACCACCGAACAAUGUGGCCUGGAUGAGUAUUUCUUUGUUUAUCUUCAUGAAAGAUGGGGUUUGCACAUCCUUGGUUUAUUUGUUGUGUGCACAUCAUCGCUUUUUCCAAUGUGUACAAGAAUGUGUUCUUACCAUGAAAAUAAUUAUAUUUGCUAAUGAAUUUGGGAGUUAGCUAGAUUUAACCAUUCCAUAGUGUGUAUAUACUUUAAAGCAUCAUGUUGUGCAUGAUAAAAAUAUACAAUGCCAUCUGCCAAUUCAAUAAGCAUUAAAAAUAAAUGAAAUGAAACUAUUAAAAAUAGAAAUCUGUAGACUAAGGAUGGUGAAAUAAUAGGGUAGAAACAAUCUCUACCCUUACUGAGCUGCUGUCCCCGACCUGGAACCACCUAUGUCUAAAUGAAUUGUUAUGGGUGACAACAACACAUUCCUAUUAAUCAGAUUUUCAGCUACUUGCAGGGGAAUGAAUUCUUACACACAUGUGAAAGAAGAAGCAAGCUGCUCUGAUGAGCAGCACAGCAAGGUGACUUUAAUUAAUGAUGUUGUAUUGUAUUCUUGGAAAAUGUGAAGACCGUGGACAGUCUGAUUCCACUGGCUGCUAAGUCUUUCCCGUAUUUGUUGUAAGACACCAGCUGGCCUGCUAUGGAAUCUAGAGGAGACUGAAAGAUAAGAAGGGGAAGGAGGGGAGAGAAAUCCUCCCAUGGCUCUCUCUUCUUUCAUCAAGGAGGAAACAUCUUUCCAAAACAACUUUCUCGGGGCCGGCGCUGUGGUGCAGUGGAUUAGCACCCUGGCCUGAAGUGCCGGCAUCCCACACGGGCACCGAUUCUAGUCCAGGCUGCUCCUCUUCUGAUCCAGCUCUCUGCUGUGGCCAGGGGUAGCAGUAGAGGAUGGCCCAGGUUCUUGGGCCCCUGCACUCAUGUGGGAGGCCUGGAAGAAGCUUCUGGCUCCUGCUUCGGAUUGGCACAGCUCCGGCCAUUGUGGCCAUUUGAGGAGUGAACCAGUGGAUGGAAGACCUCUCUCUCUCUCUCUAUCUGUAUAACUCUGACUUUUGAAUAAACAAAUAAAUCUUUAAAAAAAACCAACUUUCUCAUUUCAAUGCUUAGAAUAGUAUUGCACUGCCACUCCUUCAUGCAAACUGCAAGAGAGACUGGAGAAGGGAGUUUGUGGACAAAGUGAUGGAUAUCUAAUAUCAUCCCACAACUAUACUUAUAUCAAAAUAUCGCUUUGUACUCCCCAAAUAUAUAGAUGGUCCCUGAUUUAUGAUGGGUUCUCCUUAAAACAGAUGAUGCAAAAGUGAUAUACAUUCUGUAGAAACUGAACUUUUAAGACGUUGGAUUUUGAUUUUUUUUCCUGGGCUAGCUAUAUGCAGUCUAAGCCCCUACUUUGAAGCUGAUGGGCAUAAGUGGCUGCAGCUCCUAACCAGCACUGUGAUCACCAGGAGAAACAAGCAACAUUGCACACAGCCCUUCACUUGUGGAGGUUACACUUGGGGUUUUUUGACUUUGUGAAGGCGUGAAAAUGGUAUGCAUUUGGGAGAAGCCACAAAUUAACAUCCAUUAGCUGUCUAUUAAUGAUGAGUGCCCACGCAGACAUUCUGUGUUUCACUCUCAUUACAGUGUCCAAUAAAUUUUAUGAGAUAUUUAACACUUCAUUAUAAGAAAGCCUUUGUGUUUGAUGAUUUUACCCAACUGUAGGCUAAUGUAGGAGUGCUGAGCACAUUUAAGGAAGGCAAGGCUAAGCUACAAUG